UAGCCUUGACGGGAAUGGAAGGAG
rnacentral:piRNA from 1 species